rnacentral:rRNA from 1 species
AGAGUUUGAUCCUGGCUCAGGAUGAACGCUGGCGGCGUGCCUAACACAUGCAAGUCGAACGGUCGAAAGACAGUGGCGCACGGGUGAGUAACACGUAGCUAACCUGCCCUCGAGAGUGGGAUAACUCCGGGAAACCGGAGCUAAUACCGCAUAAGCUCACGGACUGUAGAGGUCUGCGAGAAAAGGAGCAAUCCGCUUGAGGAGGGGGCUGCGGCCCAUCAGCUAGAUGGUGAGGUAACGGCUUACCAUGGCGACGACGGGUAGGGGGUCUGAGAGGAUGGUCCCCCACACUGGAACUGAGACACGGUCCAGACUCCUACGGGAGGCAGCAGUGAGGAAUAUUGCACAAUGGGGGAAACCCUGAUGCAGCGACGCCGCGUGGGUGAUGAAGGUCUUCGGAUCGUAAAACCCUUUUCUAGGUGACGAGAGAGGACGGUAGCCUAGGAAUAAGCCUCGGCUAACUACGUGCCAGCAGCCGCGGUAAAACGUAGGAGGCGAGCGUUAUCCGGAGUUACUGGGCGUAAAGCGUAUGUAGGCGGUAGGGCAAGUUGCGUGUGAAAGCUCCCGGCUAAACUGGGAGAGGACACGUAAGACUGCUCGGCUAGAGGGUGGUAGAGGGGCGUGGAAUUCCGGGUGUAGCGGUGAAAUGUGUAGAGAUCCGGAGGAACACCAGUGGCGCAACGACGCCCUGGGCCAUACCUGACGCUGAGAUACGAAAGCGUGGGGAGCGAACGGGAUUAGAUACCCUAGUAGUCC